rnacentral:sRNA from 1 species
UAGUGUGAGAGGUGCGGCGGGGGAGCCCUCCAGAAUACACAUCAUAUAGCCCCUGAGGUGGCAUGGUGAUGUCUCCAUGAGGGAACCCCUUCCCACUCAUCCUGUCACGUAUAUCAUAGUGUUCUUGACUGGGCCAUUCAUCUAAGAUGGGAUUUACCCUGUGAAACAGGGAGAAGACUUAUGGACCCCAAGCAUCAUUUCGAGUUAUAGUUGAGUUUUUAAAAGACAUACAUGCAAAGUUCCUUUGCUUUGGACCCUCUGCAUUAUUAAAGCUGCUGUAUUGCUAACCCAGAACUGCUCCAGUGUCUUGACUGAUCAUCAUGGCUUCAGUUUGGAAGAGACUGCAGCGUGUGGGAAAACAUGCAUCCAAGUUCCAGUUUGUGGCCUCCUACCAGGAGCUCAUGGUUGAGUGUACGAAGAAAUGGCAACCAGAUAAACUGGUGGUAGUUUGGACCAGAAGAAGCCGAAGGAAGUCUUCUAAGGCACAUAGCUGGCAACCUGGAAUAAAAAAUCCCUAUCGUGGUGUUGUUGUGUGGCCUGUUCCUGAAAACAUUGAAAUCACUGUAACACUUUUUAAGGAUCCUCAUGCGGAAGAAUUUGAAGACAAAGAGUGGACAUUUGUCAUAGAAAAUGAAUCCCCUUCUGGUCGAAGGAAAGCUCUUGCUACUAGCAGCAUCAAUAUGAAACAGUAUGCAAGCCCUAUGCCAACUCAGACUGAUGUCAAGUUAAAAUUCAAGCCAUUAUCUAAAAAAGUUGUAUCUGCCGCUCUUCAGUUUUCAUUAUCUUGCAUUUUUCUGAGGGAAGGAAAAGCCACGUAAGUUUCUUUUGUCAAAUAAGCUGCCUUGCAUUGUAUUUCAGUACACCAUAGCUUUUGACUCAUUAGACUGGCAAUAGCUGAACAUCUUACAGCAUACCAAUCAUUUUUGCCAUUCUUUGUUUCAGAGGCUGAAUUAAGGGAACUCCUUGUUACUUAUAAAUAGUCUCUUUUGACUCCAGAGAAUGUACAAUAAUAUAAACGUGAUCACAGCUGGUUUCAAAAUUUAAAUUGUAUAUUUUAGGAUAUUAUAAGUGUUUUAUAUUUCAGUGUCUUCAGUGUAGUAGUCUGUACUCUGAGGUACACACAGUUC